GAGACCACCACGGUGACUUGCAAGCAACUCACUGCACUUAGGCACUGGACUACCUGAAUUUCUAAUUCAGUGACGGAAGGCUGCUGGGUGUAGUCAAGUACUUGACUUGUCAGUGCGUGUGUCAAGAUGGGAUUGACCACUCCAGUUUAGGAGCUGUAUACAGUCAUGUUUCAAUUUAGCAAAACCUUGGCCAGGGUAGUCUUUGUGAGGAGUCACAGGACUGUUUGAGUUGAGCAUGAUUCAGAUGAUCUAAUCAAGGUUGACAGUUUAACCCUGAGUCAUCCUAAACACAGAGGUCAAAAGGAUGAAUUAUACAGUAACCAUAUUCACAUAGGUUCU
rnacentral:lncRNA from 1 species